rnacentral:lncRNA from 1 species
AAAUGAAGUACUGAUACAUGUUACAGCAUGAAUGAGCUUUGAAUAAAAAUAUACUAAGUGAAAGAUGUCAAACACAAAGACACACAUUGUAUGAUCCUAUUUAUAUGAAAUGUGCAGAAUAGGCUAUUAGUAAUUCCGAGGGAAUAGGGAAGGGGUAUGGAUAAGGAAAUUUUUUGUUUAAUGGUAAAGUAUUUUGGAUUUAGAUAAUGGUGAUGGUUGUAUAAUGUUGUGAAUAUACUAAAACCUACUGAACUGUAUACUUUAAAUGAUGCAUUUUGUGCUAUGUGAAUUAU